GAUGAACGCUGGCGGCGUGCCUAAUACAUGCAAGUCGAACGCUUUGUCUUUAAUUGAUAUGAGGAGCUUGCUCUGAUUUGAUUUUAUCUGACAAAGAGUGGCGAACGGGUGAGUAACACGUGGGUAACCUACCUCUUAGCAGGGGAUAACAUUUGGAAACAAGUGCUAAUACCGUAUAACACUAACAACCGCAUGGUUGUUAGUUGAAAGAUGGUUCUGCUAUCACUAAGAGAUGGACCCGCGGUGCAUUAGCUAGUUGGUAAGGUAAUGGCUUACCAAGGCGAUGAUGCGUAGCCGAGUUGAGAGACUGAUCGGCCACAAUGGGACUGAGACACGGCCCAUACUCCUACGGGAGGCAGCAGUAGGGAAUCUUCCACAAUGGGCGCAAGCCUGAUGGAGCAACGCCGCGUGUGUGAUGAAGGGUUUCGGCUCGUAAAACACUGUUAUAAGAGAAGAACGACAUUGAGAGUAACUGUUCAGUGUGUGACGGUAUCUUAUCAGAAAGGAACGGCUAAAUACGUG
rnacentral:rRNA from 1 species